rnacentral:rRNA from 1 species
GAUGAACGCUGGCGGCGUGCCUAAUACAUGCAAGUCGUACGGUAAGGCCCUUCGGGGUACUCGAGUGGCGGACGGCUGAGUAACGCGUGGGAACGUGCCCCACAGUGAGGGAUAACGCACCGAACGGUUUGCUAAUACCGCAUAUGGUCUUCGGAUUAAAGCUUCGGCGCUUUGGGAGAGGCCCUCGUACGAUUAGAUAGUUGGUGAGGUAAUGGCUCACCAAGUCGACGAUCGUUAGCUGGUCUGAGAGGAUGAUCAGCCAGACUGGGCCUGAGACACGGCCCAGACUCCUACGGGAGGCAGCAGUAAGGAAUCUUCCACAAUGGGGGCAACCCUGAUGGAGCAACGCCGCGUGCAGGAUGAAGGUUUUCGGAUCGUAAACUGCUUUUAUAAGUGAAGAAUAUGACGGUAACUUAUGAAUAAGGAUCGGCUAACUACGUGCCAGCAGCCGCCGUAA